AACUUUCAGCAACGGAUCUCUUGGCUCUCGCAUCGAUGAAGAACGCAGCGAAAUGCGAUAAGUAAUGUGAAUUGCAGAAUUCAGUGAAUCAUCGAAUCUUUGAACGCACCUUGCGCUACCCUGGUAUUCCGGGGAGCAUGCCUGUUUGAGUGUACAU
rnacentral:rRNA from 1 species